GAGUGGUUUGGUACAAGGCGUCAAAGUCGGUAACCCAAUCGAUAGGAGUGGGAGGGGCUGCGAAGACAUGGUGUACGAGGAGAGAGCCAGGAGGAGGAGCCCCCACAAAGCCACCGGGAGGGGGGCUAGGUCCGGGAGUGGCGAGCAUGUUGACGAUGAUCAUGGGUUGUGAUGACGACAAGGCUUCGAUCGUCAUCGAGAUAAUCACGACACUACGAAACACAAAUGGUCCAAUAGCGUGGCGACCCUCCUGAGGGUGGAUGGAGGCAGGCGGGUGGAAGAGUUCGAGCAGUCACUGAGAACCGGGUUCAUGACUCUAUCAAAGGCCAUGAAUGUGCCCCGAAAAAGCUGGCCAUCGUGA
rnacentral:lncRNA from 1 species